AUGAAUUUCCAACCUGCUCGUUAAUUGAAUUUCCAAGCCCUUUUUGUUUGUGGAUGUGCUUAUUCAAUGUUCUAAUCAGGCAGCAACUAUUGAAGAACUUGCGCAUGUUAAGCUUCUAGCAACUUUUAAUAUCAGAAUUGUUAUCAACUAUACACUCAUGCAUCCACACAGCAAAAUAGCCACCAACAAAACAAUAGUUCCUAAUGCCUCAGAGUGUCGUAUUAGCAAGCAAGGCAACACCAUAUCAAAGACAAAAAUGCAGAUCAUAGUUCCCACCCCCAAUUCACGAAGACACAAACAAAACAUUCAUACUACAGAAACCAAAUUGCAAAGUCACAAUCUCCA
rnacentral:misc_RNA from 1 species